CUGCCUCCUGAUUUCAAGCGAUUCUCGUGCCUCAUCCUCCCGAGUAGCUGGUAAUGAAGGAUCACCUUGGCCUGUCUUCAGAAAGAAUUCUGGUAGGUCAGUGUAGCCAGAAUCUUUCUUACUGCAAUGUUUUCGCAGUAAUUUUCCACCUACUGAAAAACUGGAUGCUCUUUGGCUAUGAACUUCCACUUGCCCAUGCUGUAUUCAGAGUUGAGCUCAAUCUCUCUCUCCCGCUGCAGAAUCCCGUUGUAUUGGUUCCAAUACCUAUUGCAAUGGUCCUGAAUAAAGUCUGCCUUACUGUGCUUUAACAAGAA